rnacentral:rRNA from 1 species
UCGAGGAUCUUCGUCAAUGGGCGAAAGCCUGAACGAGCGACGCCGCGUGCGGGAUGAAGGCCCUUGGGUUGUAAACCGCUGUCAGGGGGGAUGAAACCGUAAGGUUGACAGAGCCCCAGAGGAAGCACGGGCUAAGUUCGUGCCAGCAGCCGCGGUAAUACGAACUGUGCGAACGUUACUCGGAAUCACUGGGCUUACAGGGUGCGUAGGUGGCUUGUUAAGCAGGGUGUGAAAUCCCUCGGCUCAACCG